rnacentral:rRNA from 1 species
CGGGUGAGUAACGCGUGAGGAACCUGCCUCAAAGAGGGGGACAACAGUUGGAAACGACUGCUAAUACCGCAUAAGCCCACGGCUCGGCAUCGAGCAGAGGGAAAAGGAGCAAUCCGCUUUGAGAUGGCCUCGCGUCCGAUUAGCUAGUUGGUGAGGUAAUGGCCCACCAAGGCGACGAUCGGUAGCCGGACUGAGAGGUUGAACGGCCACAUUGGGACUGAGACACGGCCCAA